GCCUGGGCACUGGUGUGAAGACCGCAGCCCUCGCUGCAGGGGGGCCCAGGGAGCCGGAAAAUCGGUUGCAGCACGCGUGUCUGUGAUGCUCCCCUUUUCUGAGGUGGGGCAAGUGACGCAAGUGACGCAAGACGGAUCGUCCAAUCGGACCAAGGUCCUCCAGUGAGGGCGGAGCGAGCGUUGGAGCCUGGGUGGUCAAACUGAGGCCCUGUGCUUCAGUCCGCGCCUGGACAACCAGAUAUGAAAAUAGAGAUUUUUGGCUGAUCGUUGGCCUGGGAGACACCGAGACUGUAGAUAUUAGACAGCAGAGAGAAGGAGGCCAGUUGUCAUGGGAAGAGUUUACCAAAGACAAUUUCGAGAGCUGGUUCCGCGAUUCCCCGGCUCCACGGCCAGAUCAAAGGAGCCUCCACAAGGAAGCGAAGUCCCAGAGGAACGGACCCGUGUACGUUUGCAUGACGUUUGAUGAGGAGCGGACAGCUGUGGAGGAACGUGAUACCGGGAGGUAUGUGUUGUAAACUGCGGGCAUCCAGAGCAGGCUGUUUGUUAGCGUUCUUCUGGGUGAUUCCCUGGUCUUCAGAGAUAAGGACGUUCCUCUCCUCCAGGUCUAAAGAGGGCGCCACUCACAUGAUCUGCUUCCGGAAAGAAGGGUGGAGGGGCCGGUGCUCUGACUUAGCCUUCUGACCUGUCAUCCUCUCAAACUCCUUCAGUGUAACAUACUCAGUAUGUCAAGGUGCCAUACUUUGGGGGGAGUGGGUCUUAGACCCCGUCUCGGGAAACAAACCAGUAUCCUGGGGUGUGCUUUCUGUGGGCACCAAAGCUGCUAAGCCUCUCCAUUUAUUUUGGAGCUCUCCAUGGGUCUGACCCAAGCUUCGGAACCUACUUUUCUUAUCUUUUCUACCCCCUCCUUCCUCGACACACGCACACUGUCAACCUUUAGCUCUUUGGAGUCAUAGAAUUAUGAAAUGUCAGACUAUGAAAGAGGCUCUGGGCCCGAAACGACACACAUUCCUUACGAUGCGCAAGACAGACGUUACCAAUGCAUCAUGGUAAUGUCCCGUGAAGCUCAGUGUCUACCUCAGAAUCCUUCCCAACCCAGCAUUCCAGGUAUCCAGUUUUCUGUGAGACAAAGUCUAGUUUACAGAUGCUUUCUUUGAAGCUUUAAAAGUCAACUCUGAAUCCCAGAGAAAUGAAGUCCCUCUUCCAAGGUCACACGGCCGGUUGGUGACUAGGGGAAGAUGGGCAACAGGCUCUCCUACCCGGGCCUUUGCGCUCUCUCUCUCCUGAGCCAGGGUUUCCGAGACUUUGCCCAUUUAUUCACUGUCUUCUUGGACCUCGUUCUCUUGACCGGCGAUCUCUCACCGUCUCAUUCUUCAUCCACCGCCCACGGACUACCAGGUGAUUUACAAGACCCCAGACCCUUCUCAGACAGAAUCUUAGCGAGUGGCUGAUCCACACAGAGCCACGGCCAAGAGAAGCAGCUUUGUUUGGGAUGCGAUCCACAUCGGGAAAGAAUGCACUCAUCCUGUGGUCCAGAUCUCUCCCCAACGGCUGGAAUCGAGGGCCCGGAGUCCCCGCGGCCAUCCAUUACCACUGAGACGGCCCAGGCUGGGGGCCCGUGUUGUUUUAUAUGACGGCUUAUCCUGCCGUGAGCCGUUCUGUGCCCCUCGCUGACCGCUCACCUUCUGGUGCAGGCAUCGGCUCAGCGAUGAAGAAAUGCACAAGCCCGUGGGCAAUCACCGGCAAAUGUCCGGUUUUCAUGCUGCCUGGAGGGUGCGGUUUCUGGGGCAGUCCAAGGUACCCCAGGUGCACCAAGGGAUGACGGGGAACCCACAGGAAGGGACACCUGAUAAGCCAGGAGAAGGUUCAGAAGGAUGGAAAGGUUACUCUGUAGCGAGGGAACGACAGCAGCGAACGCACAGAGGCGCAAGGGAGCGGUGGGUUUAGGGGCAAUACAGACAUUUCCGAUUGUUGGAGGUAUGCUGUGAGGCCAGGGCAAGUGGCAGGUGACGGAGUGGAGAGAGAGAAAAAGGAAACAAGCAAGCGAGCACAAAGUAUCCGUAACAUGCCACACGGUAAUAGGAGCAAAGGCAAAAGCCAAGCAGAGGUGGGGACAGAGCUGGGGAUGCUGUAGGUAGGUGGGUGGUCAGGGAGGGCUUCUCUGAGUAAGGGACGUUUGAGCCGCCGCGUGAGCUGUGCAAGGGUCCCCUCCCACCUGAUCUCAUCUGGUCCUCAUGACCGCGUGAAAGGAAGGCCGCAAACAAGGACCCUACCGCCCCAGGGCUGGUCCUGGGCUGGGGAGUGAGUUUGAGGCAGAGCGGGGCCCAGGAUCCGGCUCUCCAGACACCCAAGGCAGGGGUCCUUCGAGCUCAGAGUGGCCUCCUCCGCCAAAUGUGGGCUUCGGCCCAGCCCAGGACCUCUCCUCGGUCUCUGCAGCCUUGUCACCCACGACCCUACCCAGCAGCAAGACGAGGUUAAGACGGGCUCUGACAUCAGACAGGUGCAGCUCUAAUUCCAGUCUCUCCUAUUAGCUGCUUCAUCUGGAGCAAGGAAGCCUCAGUGUCUUCCCCCGUGAAAGGGGGUAAUCGAGCAUCUUUCUCGUGGAACACCGGACAGUGCAAGCAAAGCCCUUAGCACCGCGCCCGGCACACGUAGGCGGGGCUUAUGGAACGCGAGUUACCGGCCAUCUUGGCGCACAGGGCCCCCCGCCUCCUCGAGCCAUCUGAGUGAUGACCACACGGCUGCUGCCCUCGGCUGGGCCACGGCGGGCUUGGCUCGGUGCGACAGGUCGGGCUGUUGUAGAGCGACGCCAGCCCCCACCUCGUCUCGAGGUGGGACCCGCUGUGUCCCUUCUAUGCCCUGUCACAUCUGAUGCACCCUCCUCGCCUUCCCUUCUGUUUGCCCGGUGCUUCCUGCUUUCAGACCUGCUCACUUUGCUCCCUAAUAUGCAUCGCUGACAGACAUUAUGUUUCUUUCCUUGUUCCCUCACGGCCGUCUCCCCUGACAGAAGUUGGACACCCCGAUGACGGAGAUUCGGGGCGCUCUGUGCACGGCUGCAGGUCUGGCGCCCAGAACGUGACCGACUCCCAGUAGGUCCUGGAAACAUGUUGGUUGAACGGGUGGAUGAAGAAAUGGAACAAAUGCGCCGUGGAUGUCCGUGGCCACGGGCCAUCUCCCCAGAGAGCCUGUGUUAUUUUCUUUCAGGCCACGGCUGCAGAAGGUCAAGGGUCUGGUCCAUUUCCUUAGCCAUCCUGACCUUGGCCCGAAGGCACUCGGCCCUGGGCAUGGGAGGGCCUCCUUCCGUGCACCCGUGUUCCCUCCAGGCCAGCGCAAGGGGGACCCUGUCUUUCUUCCUAGCUCUCAGGCCAGGUCCCUGAGGAGACAACAGGAGGGGAAGACAGAUAAGCCUAUGAGGCCUCUGGGGACCCAGAAGGGCCCACGUCUGCACCUGUCACCCCUACUGCACGGCCCUGCUCCUCACUCCGUCACCACUUCAGUCUCCGUUAGGAAACUGGCGGUGGAGUCCGAA